AACGAACGCUGGCGGCAUGCCUAACACAUGCAAGUCGAACGAGACCUUCGGGUCUAGUGGCGCACGGGUGCGUAACGCGUGGGAACCUGCCCUUAGGUUCGGAAUCACUCCCCGAAAGGGGUGCUAAUACCGGAUAAUGUCUUCGGACCAAAGAUUUAUCGCCUUUGGAUGGGCCCGCGUUGGAUUAGCUAGUUGGUAGGGUAAAAGCCUACCAAGGCGACGAUCCAUAGCUGGUCUGAGAGGAUGAUCAGCCACACUGGGACUGAGACACGGCCCAGACUCCUACGGGAGGCAGCAGUGGGGAAUAUUGGACAAUGGGCGAAAGCCUGAUCCAGCAAUGCCGCGUGAGUGAUGAAGGCCUUAGGGUUGUAAAGCUCUUUUACCCGGGAUGAUAAUGACAGUACCGGGAGAAUAAGCGCCGGCUAACUACGUG
rnacentral:rRNA from 1 species